rnacentral:lncRNA from 1 species
ACAAAGACUGCAGCGGGUAGACGGACACGGAGCCUUGACAGCCCCGGGGUUUCGAGAAGUGAGGGGUCACGAGGAACCCGGGGAUCGCUGGGCUUCCGGCUUUGUCAUUGUUUAUUUCGAAUUAAUUUCGUGGUGUGCGUCUCUGUUUGCAAGCCCGCAGGAGAGACGCAGCGAAUACCCGAUUGAUUCCAUCCCCGGUUUGUUUGAAGGGAGAAGCAAGGGGCGCCUCUGGUGCUCUCACAGCCUUCAAUAGCUCCAAUAGACAGAUCACGGAUUUUGAGAAGGACAAAAUGUGUUUACAUCCAGUGGAAAAGGUGCAUUGUUUUCUUUCACGCUGAGCCCUAGGACUGGAACCUGCUUCUCCACCAGUUUCCAGGUUGGCUGAAAGAAAGGGUGUUGGAGACAUGCCUUUGGAGAAUAUUUGGAGUGAUGGAUAGAAAGCUUUCAGAUCGCAAUCUUUAUGCUUUUCUGGCCUGGAUUUACAAGUUUUGAGAAAACAAUCAAACCACAACCUGAAAUCAUUAUUAACAUAUCAGAGCCUCUGAACCCCCCCAGACCUUGCUACCCAAAUAUACAGUGAUCAUAAACA